CGGAACCAACGCUGACUUACCUGGAGAUUUCUGAGAGGGUAAGUCAAUGCUGGCUUCGCG
rnacentral:pre_miRNA from 2 species